UGUCUUCAGGGCAGGGUGUGAUUCCCGACCGGCGGUGUUUGGCAGAGGUGUCUGUCAUCAGUCCGCGAGCGCAAGCUGAUGUGGUGUGAUUCCACAGCCGACAGUAAAGUCUGGAUGGGAGAAGACG
rnacentral:ncRNA from 1 species